rnacentral:rRNA from 1 species
UAAAUAGCCAGGCCCGCUUUGGCGGGUCGCAGGCUUCUUAGAGGGACUAUCGGCUCAAGCCGACAGAAGUUUGAGGCAAUAACAGGUCUGUGAUGCCCUUAGAUGUUCUGGGCCGCACG